GUUGUGUUCACUACAAUUUGUCUUUGUUUGACAGGCAGCAUAACUUCUUCCUUCAAUUCACAGCAAAGAAAGAAAAACCCAGUAAUGACAGGUGAUAAGUAAGAAAAACCAUAAGCAAACAUAAAAAGGAGCUUUGCAAACAGUUAAAUGUCAGACUGAAACCUCUCUUCAAAUGCAAGCAAACUGAGCUCUCCAAUAUUUAUGGGCAAUUGAUGUCAUUACAAAGUAAAUAUGGC